GUCCUAAUAAGCAACCCGUAUACUAUAGGAAACUGUAAUUUCCAAAGCAGAACCCGACGCGGAGUUAUUUAGAUUUACCUUAAUGACACUGAGGACUUCCCAUUAAGUUUAAUAUCUAAACAUAGUCGAGCCAUUGAUAAUUCUUUUUAAUUUGGGAACAGGUCUAACCCUCUCGGGUGUUAAAUCUUCUCAUUUAUGCAGAAGUUGAGGAGUCGAUUCUGAUGUAAUGGAAUACCAGGAGAAUUUUACGAAGUUAUGGUGUUUCACUAUGAAAGCCCUUCCCUCUAACAUUCAAGAUAAGGAUAAGUUUCUCUCUCAUUCCUGAAUGCAGGAAUUACAAAGGAACCACAAACUUUGAAUAUCAUGGAGGUAAAUGCUACAAACAGUUUGGAAGGAAAGUGACUGUGAAUGUUUAAGGGAAACUACUCAAAAAGAUGGAAUAAACUGUCUUGAAGAUAUACGGAAUAAUUCGCCAGACCUUACAGCAAACGUGAAGAUGGUUUUUGAAGGAGUUCUAUAUAAUCAUGGAUUGUGACAGGAAAUUGGCUGUGAAUGUUUUUAAGUAGAAGUGCUUAAAAUGUUAUAGGAAAUGAGAAAAUUCACCAGAGCUUACGAAUGUGUUGGUACAUGUGAAUCCUGUGCUCAAGGAAUUGAGACAGUUUGCCAAAUACUUCAUUGACGACUUGAACAAAAUCUACACCACCCACUCAAACUUCAAGAUGGUUAAUGGAGAAGAAACGUAAUUACAUAUGGAAAUGACUACAACACCCACUCAAACUUCAAAUAAACAAAUCCGAAUGUAUGGAAUUACAAUUUAACUCUCACAGCAGUAGUUGAACAUGUAUAGCAUAUAACAUCCUUCAAGAGGGACAAUUGCAGUACUCGACUCCACUACGACAUCUAAUCAACUUCAUCUUGUCCAUUAACUAAAACAACUACGUAUGGUUGUCAUAGCAGUAGUCGGAGUUUGAAAUUACUGAUCUAAAAAUUUCUAUUGUCAGUAAAGUUUGCAAUUCAGGUGGAAUCUUGUCCUCUUCUCUGACAUGAAUACACACAUCCUAAAAUUAAUGUAUCAACCUUCAGCAGUUGAACACUUAACACACAUUCGUCAGCAACAGCUAUAUCAAGAUAUCACUGCAAGUAUGGAAGAACAUUUGUGACAAGUCUGGAAGAACACUUUAGUCCUCAUCCUCCAUUGCAAGUGUGGAAGAACAUUUGGGACAAAUCUGGGAGAACACUUUAGUCCUCUUCCUCCUUCAACAAUAGCUGAAAAAAUCCUCCUUCAGAUUGCUGAAGUCCUCAUCCUCCUUCAGCAGUAGCUGUAAUCAUCAUGAUGGUUCAUCCUUCAUUACUGGCUAGAAGAACACAAACUCUUCAGCAACAGAACACAAACUCAUCAGCAACAGCCAUAAUGACAAUGUUACAAUUGUGGAAGAACAUUUUUGUAUUAGUCUGUUUCAUCCUUCAUCAUUGGCUGGAAGAACACUGAAAUCCUCAUCCUCCAUUUGUAGCAGCUGGAAUCAUCCUGAUGGUUGGAAGAACCUUUGUGAUAAGUCAGGUCAUCCUUCAUCAAUGGCUGAAGUCUUAUCCUCCUUCAGCAAUAGCUAGCAUCAUUCUGAUGGUUCAUCCUUCAUCACUGGCUAGAAGAACACUGAAGUUCUCAUCCUCCUUCAGUAGUACCUUGAAUCAUCCUGACGAUCCAUCCUCCAACAAUGGCUUGAACACAAACUCAUCAGCAACAGCCAUAAUGACAAGGUUACUGUACAAUCUAGGAAGAACCUUUUUGUAUUACAGUUUGAUUCAUCCUUCACCAUUGGCUGUUAAGAACACUGAAAUCAUCCUGAUGGUUGGAAGAACCUUUAUUAAUGGCUGAAAGAACCUUCAUUAAUGGCUGGAAGAACCUUCAUUAAUGGCUGAAAGAACCUUCAUUAAUGGCUGGAAGAACAAAGUCUAUUCAUCCUUCAUUAAUGGCUGGAAGAACAUAAAAGACCUCUUCCACCUUCAGCAUUAGCUGGAAUCAUCCUAAUGGCUGGAAGGACACAACCCAAACUAGUUAGUCUGAAAGUACUGCUGGAAUCAUCCCGAUGGCUGGAAGGACAAACUUAACCUAAACCAGUCAUUGUCUGAAAGUGACUAGUCUUUGCCGUCUCUUCAACUGAAAGUAAAAGUCCUACAGUUAGAAACUGAACUUAACUCUGUUAAUUCAAAAUCCUACAACAAAAAUAAAAUUUCUG